GAUGCUACGCAGUAGGAAAUCCAAUCUCACGAUCACUCGUCGCCGCUUCAACCUCUUGUGCGGAAACAAAGCCGAAACGCUCUCCGCCGCGAUAUCUCCGCACCAACUCGACGAAUAGUCGAACCGUCGCCGCCAACGCGUUUAAACACCUAUCAAUUAGGUUUACAACCAUCCAAAUGAGAUCAAAACCUUAUAUUUCCCAAAACCCCAUUUU
rnacentral:lncRNA from 1 species